CGGGCCGGUUACCUGGCCGCAGCGCGGCGGCUCCCCGCUGGCGGGUGGUUUCGGUCUGGCGGUCCGAGGGCGGAGCCCUGCCUCCCCUGUGAUGUUGGAACCAACCGACGCCGUUCCCGCUGUCGAGCUGGUGGGGGAGGUGGGGUUUCACGGCGGUGUCAUUGAGCCCGGCCUCCUUACCGCCCUUCGGAAGGACCUUCGCCUGGGGCCUGGGGCCGCCGCGGCUCGCGGGACGGGGGCGUUUCCGCGUAGCCUCGGCCGGGAGCGGGCAAGUGGGAGAGAAGGGUCCACAGCGACGAAGGGGCAGGAUGUCGUAACCCCAGGAGGCCUCGUCCGUGGCCAGUGGCGUUUGCUCUUACCAAGCGCUCCACGACCUCGUCGGAGUUUUUGAAGAGGGCGAGCUAAGUUCUUCUUCCCUGAGCCGUGGACAAAACCCCGCCGGAGGCGUGGUGGUUGGUUGUCUCGGCCUGUUGCUGAUCGUUUGGCAGCUCCUUGCUCAGAGCUCUUGUGUAUCUUGGACAAAGCCUGAAGCCUUUGCACUCAACCAACUUUGCCGAAGUUCUUCGGUCUUUAGACCACUGUUCUUACCCCAAGUUUUACACUCGGAGAAAUCAAGGCAGGAGUGAACUUGGCCCUGUAGAGUGACUUCGUGCUUGAUCUGCAUUUUGUAACCAUCAGGGCGCAGCGCUGAGGAAGAGAGAAGUUGUGUGUUUGGGGCUUUCCGAGCUCUGGAAGGAAGGCAGACAUGUCUCUGGAUGACAUUAAGAUGAAAUCUUCUGACUUUCUGGAGAAGGAGGACCUGGAGAGCGGAGGCUUCGGAAAGGUGUCCUUGUGUUUUCACAAAUCCCACGGGCUUGUGAUUCUGAAGAAGGUGUACACGGGCCCCAAGCGCAAUGAGUACAACGAGUCCCUGCUGGAGGAGGGCAGGAUGAUGCACAGGCUGCGACACAGCCGUGUGGUGAGGCUGCUGGGCGUCGUCAUGGAGGAAGGGGACUACUCGCUGGUGAUAGAGUACAUGGCGAAGGGCGACCUCAUGCGGGUGCUCAAGGCCCAGACCCCCGUCCCUCUGUCUGUGAAGGGGAGGAUAGUCAUGGAGACCAUCGAAGGCAUGCGCUACCUGCACGGCGAGGGCGUCAUCCAUAAGGACCUCAAGCCCGAGAACAUCCUCGUUGACGACGACUUUCACAUCAAGAUCGCCGACCUCGGCGUGGCGUCCUUCAAGACGUGGAGCAAACUGACGAAGGAGGAGCAUAACGAGCAGCGGAAGGUGACCAGCACCGCCAAGAAAAACGGGGGCACCCUCCACUACAUGGCCCCCGAGCACCUGAACGACGUCAACGCCAGGCCCUCGGAGAAGUCGGACGUGUACAGCUUCGCCAUCGUGCUCUGGGCCAUAUUCGCCAAUAAGGAGCCCUACGAAAAUGCCAUCUGCGAGCAGCAGCUGAUCCUGUGCAUCAAGUCCGGGAACCGGCCGAGCGUGGACGACAUCGUCGAGUUCUGCCCGCGGGAGGUGGUCGGCCUCAUGAAGCAGUGCUGGGCGCUGAGUCCGGACGACAGGCCCACCUUUGCUGGCAUUGAAGAAAAAUAUAGGCCUUUUUAUUUAAGUCAAUUAGAAGGAAAUGUGGAAGAGGAUGUGAAGAAUUUAAAGAAGGAGUACCCGAGCCAGAACGCCGUCGUGAAGAGGAUGCAGUCUCUGCAGAUUGACUGUGUAGCCGUAGCUCCGAGCAGGUCCAAUUCAGCCCCAGAACAGCCAGGUUCGCUGCACAGCUCGCAGGGCUUCGGGAUGGGCCCCGUGGAGGAGUCCUGGUUUGCCCCCUCCGCGGAGCACCAGCACGAGGAGAACGAGCUCCACCUGCAGAGCAAACUCCAGGAGGAAGCCAACUACCAUCUUUUCGGCAGCCGCAUGGACAGGCGCACCAAGGAGCAGCCGGGUGGCAGCGCGGCCUACGGCGGGGAGGAGGAGAGGCGGCGCAGGGUCUCGCAUGACCCCUUCGCGCAGCAGAGGCCUCACGAGCCGGCCCAGAGCCCCGCGGUGAAAGGCCUCGCCUGUGCCGGUCCUGGUAGCGCCGCCCAGCACCCGGCGGGGCUGAGCAGCCACCCGCAGCCGCUGUACCAGAGCCAUGGGUCGCACAAGCCUCAGGGCCUGGGAGCAAGGCCCCUGGAUCUGGGAGCCGCAGAUCGAAGAGUUUGGUACAUGCCGAGUCAAGGCCACAGGCCAAGCCUGUAUAAGACGCCGGUGCCCGAGACCGACCUGCUGGGCAACACGCCCACCCUGCCCUUCGCCUCCCUGCCAUCAAGAGACGCGUCUCCCAGAUACAUCCUGUACGGCAACUCUGGCGUUCAGAUCGGAGACCACAACUACAUGGAGCUCGGCGGAGCGAGCGUCUCAGUCCUGGACAGCAUGUGCCCGCACGUGAAAGAAGAGCCCGCUUCUAAGUACCAGGCCAUCUUCGAGAACACCACCAGCCUGACGGAUAAACACCUGGACCCAGUCAGGGAAAAUCUGGGAAAGAACUGGAAAAUCUGUGCGCGGAAGCUGGGCCUCACCGAGUCUCAGAUCGACGAGAUCGACCACGACUACGAGCGGGACGGACUCAAAGAAAAGGUUUACCAGAUGCUGCAGAAGUGGCUGAUGAGGGAGGGCAGCAAGGGGGCCACGGUGGGGAAGCUGGCCCGGGCGCUCUACCAGUGCUCCCGGCUGGACCUCCUCAGCUGCCUGAUCCGCAGCAGCCAGAACUAGGCCCCCGUGUCUGCGCGGAGCGGUGUCUGCAUCGCACGGCGGGGAGCGGGCGGCCGGGGCGCAAACAACACUAGAAGGAAGGUCCGGCCACGGCCCCGUCGAGAAGAAGCCUCACCGGGUUUUGAAAAGGAGCGAAGCCAUCUUCCGGGUCGUUUGCCUUCAGAUGGUUCCGUAACCUGCAGUUAUGCUGCUCAUUUAGUUCUUGGGGUCUUAUUUGAACAAGAAAAAAAUUCAGAGGACCCGAAGCACGUCGCCUUUCUCACUUUGCACCCUCCUCUCCACGCGGACUCCUGUUAAAACCAAAGUACUGUAAAAUCCUCAGUUCUCCUCAAGUGCGAGGUCUGGCACCACAGCCACGGUUCCCUCUAAAGUGUCUGUUAACUCGAGGAUCAAAUUCUGCAUCAGUCACCACAGGCUUUAAGAAGUACAUGCAGUCGCAGUUCCUUGUGGCUCGGCGGUAAUGAACCCGACCCGUGUUCAUGAGGAAGCGGGUUCGAUCCUGGCCUUGCUUAGUGGGUUGAGGAUCUGGUGUCAGCGUGAGCUGUGCUAUGGGUCGCAGGUUUGGCUUGGAUCCCAUGUUGCUGGGGCUGUGGUGUAGGCCGUCAGCUGCAGUUCCACAGCUCUGAUUCGACCCUUAGCCUGGAAACUUCCAUGUGCCGCAGGUGCGGCCCUAAAAAGCAAAAAAAA
rnacentral:lncRNA from 1 species